UCGACGCAUUGAAAACUAGGAUGGAAACACUUGAAUCUGGUAACAAUACGUGAUCGUUAAUUUUACUGGUUUUAUCUGUUUUUUUUGCUGAGGACAUUAAAUUCUUCUUGCGCUCAUAGAGUUGACAUGUUGUAAAGAAGAAGAACGACAGAGAUUAUUGAGGGAAGUUAAAGAAAUCGACGCAUUGAAAACUAGGAUGGAAACACUUGAAUCUGAGUUGACAUGUUGUAAAGAAGAAGAACGACAGAGAUUAUUGAGGCAAGUUAAAGAAAUCGACGCAUUGAAAACUAGGAUGGAAACACUUGAAUCUGAGUUGACAUGUUGUAAAGAAGAAGAACGACAGAGAUUAUUGAGGCAAGUUAAAGAAAUCGACGCAUUGAAAACUAGGAUGGAAACACUUG